GAUGAACGCUGGCGGCGUGCCUAAUACAUGCAAGUCGAGCGAACAGACGAGGAGCUUGCUCCUCUGACGUUAGCGGCGGACGGGUGAGUAACACGUGGAUAACCUACCUAUAAGACUGGGAUAACUUCGGGAAACCGGAGCUAAUACCGGAUAAUAUAUUGAACCGCAUGGUUCAAUAGUGAAUGACGGUUUUGCUGUCACUUAUAGAUGGAUCCGCGCCGCAUUAGCUAGUUGGUAAGGUAACGGCUUACCAAGGCGACGAUGCGUAGCCGACCUGAGAGGGUGAUCGGCCACACUGGAACUGAGACACGGUCCAGACUCCUACGGGAGGCAGCAGUAGGGAAUCUUCCGCAAUGGGCGAAAGCCUGACGCAGCAAUGCCGCGUGAGUGAUGAAGGUCUUCGGAUCGUAAAACUCUGUUAUUAGGGAAGAACAAAUGUGUAAUUAACUAUGCACGUCUUGACGGUACCUAAUCAGAAAGCCACGGCUAACUACGUG
rnacentral:rRNA from 1 species